GAAUUACACUUGACAGAGGCAGAGGAAAAUGCCUGCAGUCUGCAGCAUAGGAGGAAAAAAAGCGUUUCUUGUCUUCUAUUGUGCAAUGCCCAUGAAGUAUAGCAUCAACAAACUAAUGCAAAACUGCAGAGAUCUUUCCGUGAGAUAAUUGAAUAUAAAAUCAUGAUUGCUUUUUACAAAUUUGGAUUCAUCCCAAAUCCAUUGUUCUUCAAAGGCAGGAAAAGUGGUCAGAGAAAAGGUGGAUGGUAACAACACUUCACCUUGAGCUGUUAGAAUACCAGCAUUUAGCAUAACUGAUAUUCGUUGCAAUUAAGCCAUGCUACGUUGAGUGUAAAUGGGCAACUACAAUGAGGACCACUGGACUUCUGAAGUUCAAGUUCUAUUCUGUCUGAAGACAAUUUCCCUGCCAGAGGUCAAACUUUAGCACACACAUGCCGACACAGAAGUCAUAGUCCUGCAUUAUACAGUUAAGCUAAUGAUCUCGAGAGGAUAUUGUCCUGGGUAAGAGUGGAGCCUACACCCAAAAACAAGAUUACCUGAAAGAGAAAAGAAAGGGGGAA
rnacentral:lncRNA from 1 species